rnacentral:rRNA from 1 species
GAACUGAAGAGUUUGAUCAUGGCUCAGAUUGAACGCUGGCGGCAGGCCUAACACAUGCAAGUCGAGCGGAUGAAGGGAGCUUGCUYCUGGAUUCAGCGGCGGACGGGUGAGUAAUGCCUAGGAAUCUGCCUGGUAGUGGGGGAUAACGUCCGGAAACGGGCGCUAAUACCGCAUACGUCCUGAGGGAGAAAGUGGGGGAUCUUCGGACCUCACGCUAUCAGAUGAGCCUAGGUCGGAUUAGCUAGUUGGUGGGGUAAAGGCCUACCAAGGCGACGAUCCGUAACUGGUCUGAGAGGAUGAUCAGUCACACUGGA